UACGUAGGGACCGAGCGUUGUCCGGAAUCAUUGGGCGUAAAGAGCGUGUAGGCGGCCACUUAAGUCCUGCGUGAAAUCUUGCGGCUCAACCGCAAGCGGUCGUGGGAAACUGGGUGGCUAGAGUGCGGGAGAGGAGAGUGGAAUUCCUGGUGUAGCGGUGGAAUGCGCAGAUAUCAGGAAGAACACCGGUGGCGAAAGCGGCUCUCUGGACCACAACUGACGCUGAGGCGCGAAAGCUAGGGGAGCAAACAGG
rnacentral:rRNA from 1 species